UGGAGGCCACCACCGAGGUGAAAAGGUAAACACAGAUGUACUGCUGAACAAGAGAUAUAUUAAAGCUUCUACAUUUCAUUAAAGAAACCUACCAGAGUUUAC
rnacentral:lncRNA from 1 species